UCUGGGAUAACAUAGUUAAGAAGGAGGGAAAAAAAGAAAGAUUGGGCAAGACCAAUUGCAAUCAGAGAGAGGAGUGAGAAUGUGUGAGACAUACAACCCUGCAGACACCAAGGCGAGUGAAGAAAGCGGGGAGGAAGCACCAGAGCAGAAAUUCCCUGCAGACUGUGGGCAAAGACCAUGGAGAGUCAGGCUGUCCCCCUGCAACUCAUGGAGGUUAAUUGUGGAGUGGGUAUCCAUCUGCAGCCUGGGGAGGUUACAAGGGAGAUGAUAUCCACCUGCAGCCCAUGGAGGACCCCAUGCCAGAGCAGGCUGGUGCCCAAAGGAGGCUAUGACCCAGUGGGAAGCCUGUUUUGGAGGAAGCUCCUGGAUUACCCUUGUCCUGUGGCCCUGCGGGCAAAGGAGCCCAUACUGGAGCAGGCUUGCUGGCAGGAGCUGUGACCCCACACGGAAACCAUGCUGGAGCAGUCUGUUACUCAAGGGCUGCACCCUGUGGAAGGGACCCACACUGGAACAGAUCAUGAAGAACUGCAGCACAUGGGAAGGACCCCUGUGGGAGAAGUUCCUGGAAGACUGUCUGCUGUGGGUGUCAUCCCAUUCUGGAGCAGGGGAAGAGCAUGAGAAGAAAGGAACAGCAGACAGAAUGUGUGUUGAACACAACCCCCAUUCCUUGUCCCCCUGUGCCAUUUUGGGGGAAGAAAUGGAGAAUUUGGGAACAAAGUUCAGCCUGGGAAGAAGGGAGGGGUGUGGGGAUGAUGUUUUUAAGAUCUGUUUUUAUUUCUCAUUCUCCUCCUCUGACUUGAUCAGUAAUAAGUUAAAUUCAUUUCCCCAA